rnacentral:rRNA from 1 species
AUUGAACGCUGGCGGCAGGCCUAACACAUGCAAGUCGAGCGGAGCGGCGGACGGGUGAGUAAGGCCUACGAAGCUGCCUGGUAGUGGGGGAUAACGUCCGGAAACGGGCGCUAAUACCGCACACUAUCAGAAGAACGUAGGUCGGGUUAGCUAGGUGGUGGGGUAAAGGCCUACCUAGGCGACGAUCCGUAACUGGUCGGCGAGGAUGAUCAGUCACACUGGAACUGAGACACGGUCCAUACUCCUACGGGAGGCAGCAGUGGGGAAUAUUGGACAAUGGGCGAAAGCCUGAUCCAGCCAUGCCGCGUGUGUGAAGAAGGUCUUCGGAUUGUAAAGCACUUUAAGUUGUGAGGCGUUACCAACAGAAUAAGCACCGGCUAACUUCGUGCCAGCAGCCGCGGUAAUAC